rnacentral:rRNA from 1 species
ACGGCGAGUGAAGCGGUAACAGCUCAAAUUUGAAAUCUGGCCUCACGGUCCGAGUUGUAAUUUGUAGAGGAUGCUUCGAGCAUGGUCUGGCCUAAGUUCCUUGGAACAGGACGUCAUAGAGGGUGAGAAUCCCGUAUGCGGUCAGGUGCCUACGCUCAUGUGAAGCUCCUUCGACGAGUCGAGUUGUUUGGGAAUGCAGCUCAAAAUGGGUGGUAAAUUUCAUCUAAAGCUAAAUAUUGGCCAGAGACCGAUAGCGCACAAGUAGAGUGAUCGAAAGAUGAAAAGCACUUUGGAAAGAGAGUUAAACAGUACGUGAAAUUGUUGAAAGGGAAGCGCUUGCAACCAGACUUGCGCGCGGCCGAUCAUCUGGUGUUCUCACCGGUGCACUCGGCCGUGCUCAGGCCAGCAUCGGUUUUGGCGGCUGGAUAAAGGCCCCAGGAAUGUGGCUCCUCUCGGGGAGUGUUAUAGCCUGGGGUGCAAUGCAGCCUGCUGGGACCGAGGACCGCGCUUCGGCUAGGAUGCUGGCGUAAUGGUUGUAAGCGGCCCGUCUUGAAACACGGACCAAGGAGUCUAACAUCUAUGCGAGUGUUUGGGUGUCAAACCCAUACGCGUAAUGAAAGUGAACGGAGGUGAGAACCCUUAAGGGUGCAUCAUCGACCGAUCCUGAUGUCUUCGGAAGGAUUUGAGUAAGAGCAUAGCUGUUGGGACCCGAAAGAUGGUGAACUAUGCCUGAAUAGGGUGAAAGCCAGAGGAAACUCUGGUGGAGGCUCGCAGCGGUUCUGACGUGCAAAUCGAUCGUCAAAUU